rfam:Canis lupus familiaris chromosome X, whole genome shotgun sequence.
GGGGGGAGGCCGGAUCCUGGGCUUGUCCCAGGCGCCCAGUGAUCCCGCGCCUGCACUGUUGGAUUCGCGCUCGGGGUAGCGCAGCCGCCU